rnacentral:rRNA from 1 species
CACGUAGGGUGCGAGCGUUGUCCGGAAUUAUUGGGCGUAAAGAGCUCGUAGGCGGUGUGUCGCGUCGGCCGUGAAAACUUGGGGCUUAACUCUGAGCGUGCGGUCGAUACGGGCAUCACUUGAGUUCGGCAGAGGAGACUGGAAUUCCUGGUGUAGCGGUGAAAUGCGCAGAUAUCAGGAGGAACACCGGUGGCGAAGGCGGGUCUCUGGGCCGAUACUGACGCUGAGGAGCGAAAGCAUGGGGAGCGAACAGG